UACGAAGGGGGCUAGCGUUGCUCGGAAUGACUGGGCGUAAAGGGCGCGUAGGCGGUUUGUACAGUCAGGUGUGAAAUUCCCGGGCUCAACCUGGGGGCUGCACUUGAUACGUAGGAACUGGAGUGGGGAAGAGGGUCGUGGAAUUCCCAGUGUAGAGGUGAAAUUCGUAGAUAUUGGGAAGAACACCGGUGGCGAAGGCGGCAUCCUGGACCGAUACUGACGCUGAUGAGCGAAGGCCAGGGGAGCAAACGGG
rnacentral:rRNA from 1 species